UUGCACAAAAUGAUUAGUGGCGAACGGGUGAGUAACACGUGAGUAACCUGCCCUUAACUUCGGGAUAAGCCUGGGAAACCGGGUCUAAUACCGGAUACGACGGAUCCCCGCAUGGGGGUUCGUGGAAAGCUUGAUGCGGUUUUGGAUGGACUCGCGGCCUAUCAGCUUGUUGGUUGGGGUAAUGGCCCACCAAGGCGACGACGGGUAGCCGGCCUGAGAGGGUGACCGGCCACACUGGGACUGAGACACGGCCCAGACUCCUACGGGAGGCAGCAGUGGGGAAUAUUGCACAAUGGGCGAAAGCCUGAUGCAGCGACGCCGCGUGAGGGACGAAGGCCUUCGGGUUGUAAACCUCUUUCAGCAGGGAAGAAGCGAAAGUGACGGUACCUGCAGAAGAAGCGCCGGCUAACUACGUGCCAGCAGCCGCGGUAAUACGUAGGGCGCAAGCGUUAUCCGGAAUUAUUGGGCGUAAAGAGCUCGUAGGCGGUUUGUCGCGUCUGCUGUGAAAGCCCGGGGCUCAACCCCGGGUCUGCAGUGGGUACGGGCAGACUAGAGUGCAGUAGGGGAGACUGGAAUUCCUGGUGUAGCGGUGAAAUGCGCAGAUAUCAGGAGGAACACCGAUGGCGAAGGCAGGUCUCUGGGCUGUAACUGACGCUGAGGAGCGAAAGCAUGGGGAGCGAACAGGAUUAGAUACCCUGGUAGUCCAU
rnacentral:rRNA from 1 species